AAAACGUGGAUAACCGCCCAUCGUCUGGGAAAACCUCGGGGAAAAUGAGAAAAGGCCGGUGUUCCAAUGCCUGGGAAAGGUUUGUGAAUCCGGUAGGAUGGGGGUUGGGGGUAUCAGGUUGUAGGGGGGAAAAAGGCCCCUAGCCUUGCCAGGUGUUGGGGGACAUAGCCCGGAAUGGAUUCUGAGACACGAAUCCAGACCCACGGGUGCAGCAGGCCGGGAAAAAUUCACACUGCGGAAACUGUGAUGAGGGAACUCCCAGUGCAUACUAUGUGUAUGUAGAUCCUCUCUUUCAAGGAGAGGGGGAAAAGGGGUGGGAAAAACCGGUGCCAGCCCCGGGGAAUACCGGCAGCUCAAGUGGUCGUCGCUUUUAUUGGGCCUAAACGUCCGUAGCCUGUUUGGUAAAUCGGGGGAAAUCAAUCCGCUCAACGGAGAAUUCUGAAGGUCCAGACAGGGGGCCGGGAGGGGGGGGACUGAGGGGAGGGGUAAAAUCCCGUCUCCCGAGGACCACCAGUUCGAAGGCGCCACACUGGAACGGAUCGACGGUCAGGGACGAAGCCUAGGGCACGAACCGGAUUAGAUACCCGGGUAGUCCUAGGUGUAAACGCUGUGAACUUGGUGUCAGGGGUCCGAGGGUCCCGUGCCGGAAGUGAAGAUGUUAAGUUCACUGCCUGGGAGUACGGUGCAAGGCUGAAACUUAAAGGAAUUGGCGGGGGAGCACUGAAAGCGGGAGGAGCGUGCGGUUUAAUUGGAUUCAACGCCGGAAAACUCACCAGGGCCGACUGUUAGAUGAAGACCAGCGUAACGAGCUUGUCGGAUUUUCAGAGAGGUGGUGCAUGGCCGUCGUCAGUUCGUACCGCAAGGCGUUCUGUUAAGUCAGAUAACGAACGAGACCCUCAUCCCUAUUUGCCAGCUGCGUCCCCGGACGCAACGCACUAUAGGGAGACCGCUGUCGAUAAGGCAGAUGAAGGCGAGGGCAACGGUAGGUCAGUAUGAUCCGAAUGCCAUGGGCUACACGCGCAAUACAAAGGACGGGACAAUGGGCUGCAACUCCGAGAGGAAAGACGCUAUCCCGAAACCCGUUCGUAGUUCGGAUUGAGGGCUGUAACUCGCCCUCAUGAAGCUGGAUUAGGUAGUAAUCGCGUCUCAAUAGGGCGCGGUGAAUAUGCCCCUGCUCCUUGCACACACCGCCCGUCAAACCAUCUUAGUUGGGGGUGGGUGAGGCUGCGCUUCAUGGCGUAUUCGAGCCUGCCUUCGACAAGGAGGGUUAAGUCGUAACAAGGUAUCUGUAGGGGAACCUGCAGAUGGAUCACCUCCU
rnacentral:rRNA from 1 species